AGAGUUUGAUCCUGGCUCAGGAUGAACGCUGGCGGCGUGCCUAACACAUGCAAGUCGAACGGGAGCGCGCAGAGGACGAGAUUUCGGUCGAGUCGCACGCGCUUUAGUGGCGGACGGGUGAGUAACGCGUGGAUAACCUGCCUUACACAGGGGGAUAACGCUUAGAAAUAGGCGCUAAUACCGCAUAAGCGCACAGCCUCGCAUGAGGGAGUGUGAAAAGCCUCGGCGGUGUAAGAUGGAUCCGCGUCUGAUUAGCCAGUUGGCGGGGUGACGGCCCACCAAAGCGACGAUCAGUAGCCGGCCUGAGAGGGUGGACGGCCACAUUGGGACUGAGACACGGCCCAGACUCCUACGGGAGGCAGCAGUGGGGGAUAUUGCACAAUGGGGGGAACCCUGAUGCAGCGACGCCGCGUGAGUGAAGAAGCGCCUCGGCGCGUAAAGCUCUGUCAGCAGGGAAGAAGAUGACGGUACCUGACCAAGAAGCCCCGGCUAACUACGUGCCAGCAGCCGCGGUAAUACGUAGGGGGCAAGCGUUAUCCGGAUUUACUGGGUGUAAAGGGGGCGCAGACGGCGCGGCAAGUCCGGAGUGAAAUCCCAGGGCCCAACCCUGGGGCUGCUCUGGAAACUGCCGGGCUGGAGUGCUGGAGGGGCAGGCGGAAUUCCUAGUGUAGCGGUGAAAUGCGUAGAUAUUAGGAGGAACACCGGUGGCGAAGGCGGCCUGCUGGACAGCGACUGACGUUGAGGCCCGAAAGCGUGGGGAGCAAACAGGAUUAGAUACCCUAGUAGUCCACGCCGUAAACGAUGA
rnacentral:rRNA from 1 species